rnacentral:rRNA from 1 species
CAUGGUCUAGCUAGUUCUAAUCAAGCAAAACGCCACUUGCAGUUUGCCCCCCCGAAACUAGGUGAGCUACUUCAAAACAGCCUUUAGGGCGAACCCGUCUCUGUUGCAAUAGGGUGGGAAGAUUUUCAAGUAGAGGUGACAUGCCUAUCGAACUUAGAGAUAGCUGGUUACUCGGGAAAAGAACCUUAGUUCUACCUUAAGCCUCCCCCGCAAACAAAAGCUAAACGGACUUAAGAGCUAUUCAAAUAAGGUACAGCUUAUUUGAAACAGGUUACAACCUUUAUUAUAGGGUAAAGCACGAUAUUCUACAAAAAAGUGGGCCUAAGAGCAGCCACCAAGAAAAAGCGUUAAAGCUUAACUGUAGAAACCCUUCAAUGUCUUUAUUUACUCUGAACCCAUUACCACUACCGAGUGAUUUUAUAACUUUAUAAAAGCCACAAUGCUAGAACUAGUAACGAGAAAUAGAUUUCUCCUUAGUGUAAACUUAAGCCGACCACUUUAUCGCGGCAGUUAGCGAACGUUUAUGAUCCCAUUAUAUUAACCACAACUAGAGAACCAUAUAGCACCGAACGUUAACCUGACACCAGAACACUUCAGGAAGAUUAAAAGGGAAAGAAGGAACUCGGCAAAUUAAAAGACCCGCCUGUUUAC